rnacentral:rRNA from 1 species
UGGGGAAUAUUGGACAAUGGGGGAAACCCUGAUCCAGCAACGCCGCGUGGAGGAUGAAGGUCUUCGGAUUGUAAACUCCUGUUAGGGGGGGCGAAGGGAUGUCGGCGAACAGUCGGCAAACUUGACGGUACCCCCAGAGGAAGCCCCGGCUAACUCUGUGCCAGCAGCCGCGGUAAUACAGAGGGGGCAAGCGAGCGUUAAUCGGAAUUACUGGGCGUAGCGCGCGUAGGUGGUUUGGUAAGCGAUAUGU